UUUUUUUUUUUAACUUCAGCUCAUUUUAAAGCCAGACCACUGCUACUCCCCUAUCAUUGGUUGAUCAAGUCAAAGAUGAUGACCCACUCUCAGUUAAUGCCUAUCUGCUGUCAGAGCUGAUCCCGGUGAACCAAAUAAAAAGCUGGCUGUGUGCUGAAUAGAUCCAGUGUCUUGUUCUGCUCCCUUCUCCUGGGCAUUAUGGAAAUACAUUCAUGUGAAAGAUUGAGGCCAGCCAAGGCUGCUCUCCCUCCACAGGAGCAGACUUCCCUGUUACUGAAGGCAAUUUUAUUUACUAACUGGGACAAGCUGCGGGACAAAGCCUGAGAAGGAGCGAGAUUCUAAAGGGCUCUUAAGAUCUCGCAGAUGAAAAAUGCCUGGGUGCUGAGGAGCGGCUGCAGAGGCCGGUUGAUCAUAUUUGACUGACAGCUGGAAGAUUUCGCAGCGAUUCCACGGAACAAUGUUGCUGGAACCUG